AAGUCGUAACAAGGUUUCCGUAGGUGAACCUGCGGAAGGAUCAUUAACACGUAUCCACGUAUCCACCCAACGCGCACUAGAACCUCCCUGAUUUAACUAGGCAGAAUGAUGAUUUUCGGAUUGUCAAUUUGUUUAGAGCGAUCAGGCUAUUUUUCUAUUUUAUCCAUAUUCACUCUUUGUUUCCUACUUUACUGUCUGAAACAACUACAUCUUAUUUUUUGCUAGUUGACUGAACCCAUAGUUCACUCGAGAAAUUGAGCUGAUACUGAUCAUUAUUUCUAAUAAUGUUUAUUGUACAACUCUUAGCAAUGGAUAUCUUGGCUCUC
rnacentral:misc_RNA from 1 species